UGAACUUUGAAUUGAAAAUGAGCGGUCUGGUAUGUUCAUUGAUGCAGGUCGUUAUUGUAAAAGAGAACGACUAACCUGCUUACAUAUCGUCAGUUAAUGUAUUUUAUAGUAGGUCAUGUGAAUUUACAAAUGUAGUUAUUUUUCUAACCUGACUCUCUCAGGUGCUGUAUUGGGGGCAGGGCUUGCGGCUGGGAGCAGUUUGACUGGUUCUUCAGAGCAGCAGCUGCGUUCUGUACGGACAGAGUUUGUGAAACGAGUGUCAGGACCUGUCUUGGACGGUCUGCUGGACAGACUCCUGCAACACAGUCAUCAACCAGGAGGAAAUGGAGUCAGAGGACCUGAGCCCUAGGACCAUGCCUCAGGACUACCUGGCCUGAUGACUUCUUGCUGUCCCCAGUCCAUCUGGUCAUGCUGCUGUUCCAGUUUUAACUGUUCUGCCUGCGGCUAUGGAACCCUGGCCUGUUCACCGGACGUACUACCUUGUCCCAGACCUGCUGUUUUCAACUCUCUAGAGACAGCAGGAGCGGUAGAGAUACUCUGAAUGAUCGGCAAUGAAAAGCCAACUGACAUUUACUCCUGAGGUGCUGACCUGUUGCACCCUCUACAACCACUGUGAUUAUUAUUAUCUGACCAUGCUGGUCAUCUAUGAACAUUUCAACAUCUUGGCCAUGUACUGUUAUAAUUUCCACCCGGCACAGCCAGAAGAGGACUGGCCACCCCUCAUAGCCUGGUUCCUCUCUAGGUUUCUUCCUAGGUUCCGGCCUUUCUAGGGAGUUUUUCCUAGCCACCGUGCUUCUACACCUGCAUUGCUUGCUGUUUUGAGUUUUAGGCUGGGUUUAAAAGUGUUUAAACAGUUUAAAAGUGGAUUAUUAAGACCUUCAAAGAGAUACAUACACGUUUUGUUUAACACUGUUGGUGGUGCUAUGGGUGUACAGCACUUUGUGACAUCAGCUGAUGUAAGAAGGGCUUCAUAAAUACAUUUGAUUGAUUGAUUUGACCUCAAUUCAAACUGUUGUUCGAAAUAAAACUAG
rnacentral:lncRNA from 1 species